rnacentral:lncRNA from 8 species
AUGGAGAUAUCCGAGGUCCACAGGAAAGUUCACCUUGAGCUAGAGGAGAAUUUUAAGAGGUUUCACAGCGAGAUAAUAGCUGAAUUGGAGAGGAAGACAGACAUGGAUGUAAAAUACAUGACAGUAAGUACUGUACUGUAUGUAUGUGUGUGCUUAUGUGAUUCUAUGGAAACGGCCUUCCCUCCUGCUCAUGGGAAUAUCAAUGAGAACUGCCCCCCCAUGCCUCAUCACUGGAACUAUGAUCCUACCUACAUCAGUGACCACAUAAUCCUGUCUACUGCCUACCUACAUCACAGUGACCACAGAAUCCUGUCUACAUCACUGACCACAGAAUCCUGUCUACUGCCUACCUACAUCACAGUAACCACAGAAUCCUGUCUACAUCAGUGACCACAGAAUCCUGUCUACUGCCUACCUUACAUCACAGUGACUACAGAAUCCUGUCUACCUACAUCAGUGACCACAGAAUCCUGUCUACUGCCUACCUUACAUCACAGUGACCACAGAAUCCUGUCUACUGCCUACCUUACAUCACAGUGACCACAGAAUCCUGUCUACUGCCUACCUUACAUCACAGUGACCACAGAAUCCUGUCUACCUACAUCAGUGACCACAGAAUCCCGUCUACUGUCUACCUACAUCAGUGACCACAGAAUCCUGUCUACUGCCUACCUUACAUCACAGUGACCACAGAAUCCUGUCUACCUACAUCAGUGACCACAGAAUCCUGUCUACCUACAUCAGUGACCACAGAAUCCUGUCUACUGUCUACCUACAUCAGUGGCCACAGAAUCCUGUCUACUGUCUACCUACAUCAGUGGCCACAGAAUCCUGUCUACUGCCUACCUACAUCAGUGACCACAGAAUCCUGUCUACUGCCUACCUUACAUCACAGAAUCCUGUCUACUGCCUACCUACAUCACAGAAUCCUGUCUACUGCCUACCUACAUCAGUGACCACAGAAUCCUGUCUACUGCCUACCUACAUCAGUGACCACAGAAUCCUGUCUACUGUCUACCUACAUCAGUGACCACAGAAUCCUGUCUACCUACAUCAGUGACCACAGAAUCCUGUCUACUGUCUACCUUACAUCAGUGACCACAGAAUCCUGUCUACUGCCUACCUUACAUCACAGUGAACACAGAAUCGUGUCUACUGCCUACCUUACAUCACAGUGACCACAGAAUCCUGUCUACUGCCUACCUUACAUCACAGUGACCACAGAAUCCUGUCUACUGCCUACCUACAUCACAGAAUCCUGUCUACUGCCUACCUACAUCAGUGACCACAGAAUCCUGUCUACUGCCUACCUACAUCACAGAAUCCUGUCUACUGCCUACCUACAUCACAGAAUCCUGUCUACUGCCUACCUACAUCACAGAAUCCUGUCUACUGCCUACCUACAUCACAGAAUCCUGUCUACUGCCUACCUACAUCACAGAAUCCUGUCUACUGACUACCUACACCGCAGUGAACACACUGUCUGCAUCCCAAAUGGCACCCUAUUCCCUUUAUAGGGGACUACUUUUCACCAGGGCCCAAAAGUAGUAAGUUCACUAUAAAGGGAAUAGGAUAAACAUACAACAAUGACUUAUGCCGUUCAGAGCCGUGGUUGAGUGGUAACGCUCACAGCAUAUGGCACAUGUACAUCUCUCCCCA